rnacentral:rRNA from 1 species
AUUGAACGCUGGCGGCAUGCCUUACACAUGCAAGUCGAACGGUAACGCGGGGCAACCUGGCGACGAGUGGCGAACGGGUGAGUAAUGUAUCGGAACGUGCCCAGUUGUGGGGGAUAACUGCUCGAAAGAGCAGCUAAUACCGCAUACGACCUGAGGGUGAAAGCGGGGGAUCGCAAGACCUCGCGCAAUUGGAGCGGCCGGAAUCAGAUUAGGGAGUUGGGGAGGUAAAGGCUCACCAAGCCAACGAUCGGUAGCUGGUCUGAGAGGACGACCAGCCACACUGGGACUGAGACACGGCCCAGACUCCUACGGGAGGCAGCAGUGGGGAAUUUUGGACAGGGGGCGCAAGCCUGAUCCAGCAAUGCCGCGUGCAGGAUGAAGGCCUUCGGGUUGUAGACUGCUUUUGUACGGAACGAAAAGGCUCUGGUUAAUACCUGGGGCUCAUGACGGUACCGUAAGAAUAAGCACCGGCUAACUACGUGCCAGCAGCCGCCGUAAAAC